CCAGUCUCAGUGAGAUGAGCCAGGUACCUCAGUUGGAAAUGCAGAAAUCACCCACCUUCUGCAUUGAUCUCGCUGGGAACUGCAGACUGAAGCGGUUCCUAUUUGGCCACCUUGCCAGCCCAUCUCGAACAUCAUCUAAAAGGACUGGACCUACAUCUGCAGUUAACUGCACAAUGGAAGAAACGGCCUCUCCUGGGCAGCCUCAUGGAUGGGGUGAAGAGACAAAGCUUGGGAGUGUAGCAUGUUGAGCACAUCUGCUCAGAGGUAACAUUUAAGCAAUAUCAGCUGAGGUUUCCCAAGCUCCCUAAAAUCUACAGAAGUUCGGCUCAAACCCCUAUCCCAGAUGCUGGAGAUGACCAAGUUCUCCAGAAACACGUAGCAAAUUCCAGGGUGGGAAGGAGAAUCUGAGCAAGGAGACAACGAUUACAUUCUCAUGGUCACUUGUCUCUUGAGCUAGUGCUUUAUUGGAAUUAGUUUAUUCUGUUAAGAGUUUCCCAAAUGUCCUGUCUUUAUGUUACACUCACAACAAAACAGACAUAAAGCACUGGCUUAGCCUCCAGUUCCACAGGAGCCUCAUCAACCCAUGCCUUCAACUGACGCCUAAGCUGAGACUAAAGAAGAUGGUAACCAAGUGAAGAGAUGGAGGUUUGGAGUGUCCAAGCAGAGAAACUACAUGUGGAAAUGCAUCGAAGCAAGAAAGAGCAUGACAUCUUCUUAGUACUGAAAGAAAAUACGACUGGACUUCAAAUAUUUUCUCAUUCGUGGGGUUAAGAGGCCUCAGAAGCAGUGUAUUCUCCCCAUCUGACCCUCCGGAUGGUUCCAGGCCAAGCGUCUCUCAGGGAAGGCUGGUUUCUCUCAACGCCCCCUUUCUGUCUGUGUUUCUUGGUUACCAGACUUGCUUACUUUGUACUAUCCUCAGAGCCCAUGACUUCCUCUGCUUUUUUCCCUAUGGAACCUUCCUUUUCUCAAAAGUGCUCACAACCUUCUCUGUGUCUUAGUGAUCACAAGACUGAGCACAUUUCCUGUUCGCUGAAUAAGCUCUAUUCAAUACAAAUAAAUUAAAGAGGAAUAAGCAAAUUGCUUUAACGUUGUGAUUGCUCAUUAAGACUCUGAAAAAUACUCAAGAGCAUAGACUUGUUCCCUUAGAAAUACGAUCAACAGGUCAUUGAAAUCUUUGAACAUUAAGUAACUGCUAUGUGUAGAAGUGUUAUAUUGACAUUGUUACUGUGGAUCUCAUUUUCUCGCUGUUUUGAUAAUUUUUACUCCACAUUCCAUUAAAAUUAUUAUUUUAAAAAAUUAACACAAAGGCUUUCCCUUCCUCUGUGAUGGGCACCAGACCAAAGUUGAUGUGCAAUAGAAAGGAAAUAUUAAUCAGAGUGCAAAGCAGUGGAAAGAUCCCCACUGCUUUGCAGAUUAGAAAUGGAUGUCAGGAAGUUUCCUGCAGGAGGCCAUGUUAUUUCUUUACUCUCUUUGUAAAGAAACAAUUUACAAAAAAUGUUGAGUCUUGCCCUAGGAGGAAGGCGGUCCUGGAGACAAUGGCUUUGCCCUGAAGAAGACCAUGCUGUUGAACACCAUAUAAAUGAUGUGGCAGUGAGAGCCGAAGGCUGUGGGAUCUGAGAGCUGGCUCAGCCUCACUGCCCACCAGUCAUGGGAUCUUGGUGAAAUCACCAAUUCCUCUGAGCCCCAGUUUCCUCAUCUGUAACGUGGAUUUCAUAAAAAUCACUUCUUGUAUUGUAAGCGUUGAAAGCAUGAAUAUACAUAUAAUGUAAAUAAUUUCUCAUUGGAUAAAUCACAUGAAAAGUACUCAAUAAAUAAAACAUUAUUGUUUG
rnacentral:lncRNA from 1 species